UUUUUAAAUGAAAUUAUAGCUUUCCACCCCACCCACCUUUCGGUAAAGUCAUAUCUUUUUUCACAUUUUACCUACCAUUGGCAAAUUCGAUUAAUGCAGUUUGAAGUGAAAUGAACUUUAAUGUUUCUAAUUUCUAUUAUCAAUAAGAACAAACAAUAACAUAUAUUUGAAGACUAAUACAUCAGUUCAUUCAUGAUAUUUGAAUUCAAACAGUUUGCAAGAAAUCUUGUAACCCGAUAAAUUCGACAAAUUCAAGGUUCCAGCCACAGCAUUGACACAACAAUUCUAGUAGUAUCCUAGCGACAUUAUUGAAUGCAUUCUAGAAAUCACACCCAAAUUAAAGCUCACAUCAUGUAGCCAUCAUUCCGUCAUAACAGGUUUAUUUUCAUUUGCUUUGGGCUUCUGUUCCCUUGGUUUCUGCUCUUCAGUUUUCCUGGAUUCACAAGCAAAUAAAAAAAGCAUGUCAGGAAAACAAUUACAGUGUUAAGUUGCAUCAAGAAACCUUUCUUCCUUCUCAAAUAAACUUUAUAGAACAAAAG
rnacentral:lncRNA from 1 species